AGGCGACGACGGGUAGCCGGCCUGAGAGGGCGACCGGCCACACUGGGACUGAGACACGGCCCAGACUCCUACGGGAGGCAGCAGUGGGGAAUAUUGCACAAUGGGCGAAAGCCUGAUGCAGCGACGCCGCGUGAGGGAUGACGGCCUUCGGGUUGUAAACCUCUUUCAGCAGGGAAGAAGCGCAAGUGACGGUACCUGCAGAAGAAGCACCGGCUAACUACGUGCCAGCAGCCGCGGUAAUACGUAGGGUGCGAGCGUUGUCCGGAAUUAUUGGGCGUAAAGAGCUCGUAGGCGGCCUGUCGCGUCGGAUGUGAAAGCCCGGGGCUUAACCCCGGGUCUGCAUUCGAUACGGGCAGGCUAGAGUGUGGUAGGGGAGAUCGGAAUUCCUGGUGUAGCGGUGAAAUGCGCAGAUAUCAGGAGGAACACCGGUGGCGAAGGCGGAUCUCUGGGCCAUUACUGACGCUGAGGAGCGAAAGCGUGGGGAGCGAACAGGAUUAGAUACCCUGGUAGUCCACGCCGUAAACGUUGGGAACUAGGUGUUGGCGACAUUCCACGUCGUCGGUGCCGCAGCUAACGCAUUAAGUUCCCCGCU
rnacentral:rRNA from 1 species